rnacentral:misc_RNA from 1 species
GAUGAAGAACGCAGCGAAAUGCGAUAAGUAAUGUGAAUUGCAGAAUUCAGUGAAUCAUCGAAUCUUUGAACGCACAUUGCGCCCUCUGGUAUUCCGGGGGGCAUGCCUGUUCGAGCGUCAUUAUAACCACUCAAGCUUUCGCUUGGUAUUGGGGCUCGCGGUUCCGCGGCCCCUAAAAUCAGUGGCGGUGCCUGUCGGCUCUACGCGUAGUAAUACUCCUCGCGAUUGAGUCCGGUAGGUCUACUUGCCAGCAACCCCCAAUUUUUACAGGUUGACCUCGGAUCAGGUAGGGAUACCCGCUGAACUUAAGCAUAUCAAUAAGCGGAGGA